rnacentral:rRNA from 1 species
AUGCAUGGGAGUGGAGUAUCACCAUGGCAGGAGACUUCAGAAAAUACCACUGCAAUGCAUGGGAGUGGAACCUCACCAUGGGAAACCAUCCCGCCACCGCUAGGGAGCUCUUGGUUGCACCGCAAGCUGCAAGGGCUUGUCAACUUGCUCGUGUCACUUAAGCGCUAUGGCCUCUCGCUGCUCAAAAUUGAUAGUUUGGUGCAGUGUCAUUCUUUUUCCCUUGCGCUCAUGAGGGGAGAGAGAGGGAGAGCAGAGAGGAGUGUGAACACAGUGCUAGCUGGUAGAUAUGGUCUGUGUGUAAGGCGGCAGUGA